AUAAUGUUUCUAAAUAGCUAUACCACAGCCCCCCACUAAUUGACUAGAUUUGGCUAAAUACCCUGGAAUAUUUUCUUUAUUCAUAUACUACAGUAAAACUAUUGAAUCUUUUUCAGUUAUUUCUUCUGAUAUGUUUAGACAACACAUUAAAGUAAAUAAUAUCAAAAAAUGGUGUUUGUUGUUUGUUCAGUUAAUUAGUGACAGCGAGGUGAAUGUCAGCUUUGCCAAUCUGUCAAAGG